rnacentral:rRNA from 1 species
GAUGAACGCUGGCGGCGUGCCUAAUACAUGCAAGUCGAGCGAACAGACGAGGAGCUUGCUCCUCUGACGUUAGCGGCGGACGGGUGAGUAACACGUGGAUAACCUACCUAUAAGACUGGGAUAACUUCGGGAAACCGGAGCUAAUACCGGAUAAUAUAUUGAACCGCAUGGUUCAAUAGUGAAAGACGGUUUUGCUGUCACUUAUUGAUGGAUCCGCGCCGCAUUAGCUAGUUGGUAAGGUAACGGCUUACCAAGGCGACGAUGCGUAGCCGACCUGAGAGGGUGAUCGGCCACACUGGAACUGAGACACGGUCCAGACUCCUACGGGAGGCAGCAGUAGGGAAUCUUCCGCAAUGGGCGAAAGCCUGACGGAGCAACGCCGCGUGAGUGAUGAAGGUCUUCGGAUCGUAAAACUCUGUUAUUAGGGAAGAACAAAUGUGUAAGUAACUAUGCACGUCUUGACGAUACCUAAUCAGAAAGCCACGGCUAACUACGUG